rnacentral:sRNA from 1 species
GCUGGGUGCAGGGGUGCAUGCCUGUAAUCCCAGCAACUAGGGAGGCUGAGGCAGGAGGAUCACAAGUUCAAAGCCAGCCUCAGCAACUUUGUGAGGUCCUAGGCAACUCAGUGAGACCCUGUCUCUA